GCCCUGCCGACGGUGGAUCCGGCCUCCCCCUCCCUCCCUCCACCGUCGUCCCCUCUCCCUGGACCCCCUCCCCGUCUCAGCGGCAGCGGAUCCAGCCUCCUCCGUCCCCAUCUCGUUGGCGUGCGGGGGCCUGGGCGGCGUUGGAUCUUGUCAUGGGAGCGCGGAUCCAGCCUCAUCCGUCCCCAUCUCGUUGGCGCACGGCGACCCGGGCAGGGCGACGAUGAUUCGACGCGGGCGGCGUCGGAUCUGGCCAUACGACGAUGGACCAGUCGGAGCAGUAGUGCCGACGGCAGUGGAUCCGGGAAGGAAGAACGUGGCAGGGGCAAUUCGGUCAUAUAAUCCCAAAAUUCUACCAAAAAUACAUCUAAAAUGUAUAAAUGGAUAAAAAUGACAAAAGAUCGAAGCUCACCCACUUAAGCGUGGCUCUUUAUCGAAACCCAUUUGUAGGAUGGCAUACCAUCGAAUCUAACAUUAAGCAGUGGCAAAAUCUCAGAUUUCUCGGAUUGAAGAGAUAGUGUCGUCUAACCACAAUCCAUUAUUAAGGCUUCGCACGUUACCCUCGUGGUCAUGGCAAAAACAUUAUUGCGUAUAUAGAUGAUUAAGCUACAACAAGACACGACCAUAACUUAUAUGAUGAAGUUCAUAAUUUUUCAUGCAAAAGAGUAGAUAUUUAAAGGAAGCAGACUCGGUGGCACCUUACCUAUUAAUUUAUUAAUAGAAUAAAAAAUUUUCAUGUUAUAUUUAAAUUUUAAAUUUAAAUAAUAUAUGAACAAGUCGCAGUUUCUACGUAUUAAAAAGGCAUAAAUGGUGAAAGAACACAUUAAUUCAUUGUAUAUCAAGUUCGUAAAUUUGAAUUUCAGCUACAACUUAUAAGCUAAGGAGUUGAUGAGUUAAUGGACAGCUUCAAUUUAUAUCAUGGAUCUAAGAAAGUAUUUUUUUUUUGGUGUCUUACGUUACAUGUAGAGUGAAAAUUGACCUUUAUCAUCUUUGGAGCGAAUUUUCUAGGAUUCUAACGGCUUUGUGCUUUCAGUAGGAGACAACAUGCCCAUCGUCAGCCCAGGUAUCCGUGGUGACUUCGUUAUUCUAUAGAUCUUGCCGACGGUCUUCGGAGGUGCUCAUAGGGGUAGGGUUUGCGUGCGUGUGUUCUCAGGGGGAGUGUGCGUGCGUUAUGAGCGUCUGCAUUAUACUGUGUUCUUAAAAAAAUUGACCUUUAUAUCACACUGGAUACAUUUAAUUCUUUUUGGGUUUAAUAAGAUUUUUGUAUAUUUCGAUCUCUAGAAAUUUCUAAUCC
rnacentral:lncRNA from 1 species